rnacentral:rRNA from 1 species
AUUGAACGCUGGCGGCAGGCUUAACACAUGCAAGUCGAGCGGAGAGAGGUAGCUUGCUACUGAUCUUAGCGGCGGACGGGUGAGUAAUGCUUAGGAAUCUGCCUAUUAGUGGGGGACAACAUUUCGAAAGGAAUGCUAAUACCGCAUACGUCCUACGAGAGAAAGCAGGGGAUCUUCGGACCUUGCGCUAAUAGAUGAGCCUAAGUCGGAUUAGCUAGUUUGUGGGGUAAAGGCCUACCAAGGCGACGAUCUGUAGCGGGUCUGAGAGGAUGAUCCGCCACACUGGGACUGAGACACGGCCCAGACUCCUACGGGAGGCAGCAGUGGGGAAUAUUGGACAAUGGGCGGAAGCCUGAUCCAGCCAUGCCGCGUGUGUGAAGAAGGCCUUAUGGUUGUAAAGCACUUUAAGCGAGGAGGAGGCUACUUUAGUUAAUACCUAGAGAUAGUGGACGUUACUCGCAGAAUAAGCACCGGCUAACUCUGUGCCAGCAGCCGCCGUAA